UGCAAGUCGAGCGAACUGAUUAGAAGCUUGCUUCUAUGACGUUAGCGGCGGACGGGUGAGUAACACGUGGGCAACCUGCCUGUAAGACUGGGAUAACUUCGGGAAACCGAAGCUAAUACCGGAUAGGAUCUUCUCCUUCAUGGGAGAUGAUUGAAAGAUGGUUUCGGCUAUCACUUACAGAUGGGCCCGCGGUGCAUUAGCUAGUUGGUGAGGUAACGGCUCACCAAGGCCGAUGCAUAGCCGACCUGAGAGGGUGAUCGGCCACACUGGGACUGAGACACGGCCCAGACUCCUACGGGAGGCAGCAGUAGGGAAUCUUCCGCAAUGGACGAAAGUCUGACGGAGCAACGCCGCGUGAGUGAUGAAGGCUUUCGGGUCGUAAAACUCUGUUGUUAGGGAAGAACAAGUACAAGAGUAACUGCUUGUACCUUGACGGUACCUAACCAGAAAGCCACGGCUAACUACGUGCCAGCAGCCGCGGUAAUACGUAGGUGGCAAGCGUUAUCCGGAAUUAUUGGGCGUAAAGCGCGCGCAGGCGGUUUCUUAAGUCUGAUGUGAAAGCCCACGGCUCACCCGUGGAGGGUCAUUGGAAACUGGGGAACUUGAGUGCAGAAGAGAAAAGCGGAAU
rnacentral:rRNA from 2 species